UCUCGGAGAGAGCCGUGUGUAUUUGCUUCUUCCCUUUUCGCCCUGUGAAAUGCAGGUCCGGGGAGUCAGUAAGAAAGACUCUGGGACACCCAGAAGCCGGGAGAUGGUGUAACCUGAUUUAAUAAUCUGACCUGAGAAGAAAUCCUAGAGAAGUAGGAAGAAAAACACAAAAAAUGGCUACUUCUCAGAGGUUGUUGUCAUUCAAGGAUGUGGCCAUAGAAUUCUCUCCAGAGGAGUGGGCAUGCCUAGACUCCCCUCAGCGAAUAUUGUACAGGACUGUGAUGUUAGAGAACCAUAGAAACCUGGUUCUUCUAGGUGAGGAA